UUGCCAGGCAGCUUCCGCAGAGCUGAGAAAGUCUGGCUGCCUGUAGAUGCCAAGAGUCCGCGCCAUGUGGCAGCAGGAAGCGCUGGUGGUGACCGCCGCUGCGGAGCCCGAAGCUGGCCGCGAUGAGGAGCAGCUUCGGCAGCCAACAGGGCUGGGGGGUAGAGUGCGCGGGGAGCCCGGCGGCGCUCCCCAGGAGCCACGUAGACAGUGGAAGAAAUUUUUAUACUGUGAGCCACAUAAGAGAAUUAAGGAAGUUUUGGAAGAAGAACUUUAUAUCAAGAGAGAUGAAUGCCACAUUAAAAACCCACCUUCAGUGGCCCUGGAAAGGAUUUGGAGCAUUAAAAAGAAUCUCCCUGUAGGAUGCUUAAAGCCAGGACUACCAAGCAGAAACAGUUUACUGCCACAAGCCAAGUACUAUUCGAGGCACGGAGGACUGAGAAGAAUUCAUACACUAUCAAAAGCUCCAUGAAGACAGGGACCAUGUCUCUUCCUCAUCAUUGUUUUCCUGGCACUUAGCACGGUCCCUGGCACAGUAGAUGCUCAGUUCCAUUCAUCAUGAAGAACCAGUGAAUAAAUGGACCGGAAAGUAUUUGGUGAAUGCCUGCUUUAUGGAUAAGAUGAACAGAAUAUGUCAUUGAGAAGGAACCUCUUUCUCCUAGUGUGUGAAGAACACCGAAGAAACUUGUUUCUCAAUUUCAGAUGUGUGGGGGGAAAAGUAUAUUAGUCUGUAAAAUCUACUUAUAAAUUACCCAAAGUAAGAAAGAUUGUUGGUAAAGUUUUCUCAGUACCCAAAAAUAAUGAAGGAAAAUACUGUACCUACCUUUAGUUGUCCCAGUUGGAAUAAACUGAGCUUCUAAUUCAGCCUAUUUUAUUAAACACGUGAAACGAUGA